rnacentral:lncRNA from 1 species
CUCAGGGCAGAAGAGGAGACCGAGGUUUCUGUGCAAUUAUUUAUUUGGAAAUGGAGCCCAUUCCCUUCCUGGAGCAGGAGCUCAGGAAGUGGAGGGAAGGACGUGAAACAGGAAAAGAGGAAAAGCCCAUUUGAGGAUUUAUGACUGGAUUUGCUGCCAAAGUUGCAACUACAGUUUUUUAGGAUAACUGUAAGGCUGCACUGGGGAGAUGAAAGAGGAAGCUAUUUCUCCAUCUCCUUCCGUCCUCUAUGGGUGAAGGAUGGCUCCUUCUCUCUUCUGAUCCUGAGUGCUGGAAAGCUCAAGAAAUUCUUCUGAGAAUUGAGUGAGUUCAGCCAGCCUGGAUUCCCUGGAAUUCUGGUGAAGCCUGACUGGGUUUCACACUUGACCCAUAAACCACUUGGCAAGGAAACUUCCUGCACACAGCCCUGCCCAGGCAAUGAUACCCUUGAGUGAGCAUCUGAUAAGCCAAAACAAUUAAGAAUGAAAGAAUGCAAUGACUUGCACAGUGAAGAAUGCGAGAUCCAAACUCCCAGGUGAUGCUGAUGCUAUGAGCCUAUGGACCACACUGAAGGGCUGUGCCCCAGCCCACCACAUGUAAGUCACAAUCUCCAGGAGCAGAACCUGGCACUGGAUUCUUUUUUAAACUCCCAGGGGAUGCUACCAUGCAAUCAGAAUUCAAAAACAUGAAUGUACACUCAUAGAUGGGUUUUCCAGAAGAGAAUAAAACCUAAAAUCCCUUAGAGUUGUCCAAGUUCAUGUUACAAGACAGCAGCAUCGUGAAGACUACAGGCUACUUCCCUGACCUCUAGGUCUUGGUAGCUGACACUUUAUUACUCUAAUGCGGGGGACCCCAAACCCCCAGGCCAUGGAACAGUAGUGGUCUCUCCAUCAUAGUUCCUCCUUUUACUAACAUCAUGGCUGCAGGAUGCCCUCUUACGAUUUAAAAAGUGACAUCAAACCAAAGGAGGUGGCCGGGCACGGUGGCUCAUGCCUGUAAUCCCAGCACUUUGAGUGGCCGAGUGGACCAGUCCUGGUCCAUGGCCUGUUAGGAACUGGGCUGCACAGCAGGAAGUGAGCAGCAGGUGAGCGAACUUUCGUCUGUAUUUACAG